UACGGGGGGGGCAAGCGUUGUUCGGAAUUACUGGGCGUAAAGGGCGCGUAGGCGGCAUAUUAAGUCAGCUGUGAAAUCUCCGAGCUUAACUCGGAACUGUCAGAUGAUACUGCUUUGCUAGAGUGCGGAAGGGGCAAUCGGAAUUCUUGGUGUAGCGGUGAAAUGCGUAGAUAUCAAGAGGAACACCUGAGGUGAAGACGGGUUGCUGGGCCGACACUGACGCUGAUGCGCGAAAGCCAGGGGAGCAAACGGG
rnacentral:rRNA from 1 species